rnacentral:rRNA from 1 species
UACGAAGGGGGCGAGCGUUGUUCGGAUUUACUGGGCGUAAAGGGCGCGCAGGCGGCUCUUCAAGUCAGAGGUAGAAAGCCCAAGGCUCAACCUUGGAACUGCCUUUGAUACUGUUUGGCUUGAGACCGGUAGAGGUAAGUGGAACUGCGAGUGUAGAGGUGAAAUUCGUAGAUAUUCGCAAGAACACCAGUGGCGAAGGCGGCUUACUGGACCGGUUCUGACGCUGAGGCGCGAAAGCGUGGGGAGCAAACAGG